AACGAACGCUGGCGGCAUGCCUAACACAUGCAAGUCGAACGAGACCUUCGGGUCUAGUGGCGCACGGGUGCGUAACGCGUGGGAACCUGCCUUUAGGUUCGGAAUAACUCAGAGAAAUUUGAGCUAAUACCGGAUGAUGUCUUCGGACCAAAGAUUUAUCGCCUUUAGAUGGGCCCGCGUUGGAUUAGCUAGUUGGUGGGGUAAAGGCCUACCAAGGCGACGAUCCAUAGCUGGUCUGAGAGGAUGAUCAGCCACACUGGGACUGAGACACGGCCCAGACUCCUACGGGAGGCAGCAGUGGGGAAUAUUGGACAAUGGGCGAAAGCCUGAUCCAGCAAUGCCGCGUGAGUGAUGAAGGCCUUAGGGUUGUAAAGCUCCUUUACCCGAGAUGAUAAUGACAGUAGCGGGAGAAUAAGCUCCGGCUAACUCCGUG
rnacentral:rRNA from 1 species